rnacentral:lncRNA from 1 species
UCCUGCUUUGGGUCCAGGACCCCAUCCAGGAGAGCACAUCAGCUGUUAGGUCUGCCCAGCCUUCUAGGCGGAGUUUCUCAGACCCCUGAAGGGUGUUAAAUAGGAAUGCGGCCUGGCCAGAGUAUGGGAAACUCUGGGUGACAGCGUGUGCCCUAUCAGAGCGGAGCCUUGGGACAGCGGUGCUGCCUCCAACCCAGGUCUAGCAGGUGAUGUCCUCCAUUUCUUCAGCUCCAGGUCAGAGCUUCGUCCCAGCUCUGGAUUGGCUCACAUUUUGACCUCAAGCUCUGUGUCCCUUUUGCUGGACCCUGGACAUUUUCUCUUCUGUGUCACAGGAGGCCAGGACCUAAUAUUGACUCCCAACUCACCUCCAGUCCAGGUAAGGCCUGAGGAGGGAGAGAUGUAUCCACACCCCAAUCCCACUCCUGACAGGGAGGUCUGGGAAGGGCACACACCUGGAGAAAUGGGUCCUGGGGAAGGCCCUGGCCAUGGCAGCACUUUUCUACCAGAAGUUGCCGUGCUAUCCAGAGUACAAAGGCUGCACCACAGGCUGGCCCUGCUUCUCAUGCCUGGACUCCAGGUACCUGACAUGGCAGAGAGGUGGGGCCUGGUGCUGUGGGCACCGGGAAGUCCCCCAUCUUUUACAGAGCUGCCCGAGCUACCUCAGCAAGAUGCAAAGCAGAGUUUUCCCACUGGAUGUUUGGAAUUGGCUUCCCCAGCCAGGCUGUUACAGAAAUCCUCCAGCUCGUGACUUCUGAGGGGAGCAGAGUGUCAGAGCAGACAUUCUCUGAGCUUGGAGGCAGGGUCCUUUGGCCCCAGCAGUGGAGAGAGGAAGCUGCAGGGGCAAAGAGUCAGCUGGAGCAGGAGCGGGGCUUCAGGCUGAGCUGGGCCGAGAGGACGCCUGGCGCCCACGCCCUCCUCGGCCGGACCAAGGGAGGCUGGCCUGGGCCCGCGGGAGCGCCGCCCUUGCAGGCCCGCAGAGGAGGGGCAGUGUUUCUCCAGCCACGGGCCCUGGACUGGAACCCAACGUCGGCACUCACCAGCUGUGACCUGGGAGAAGAGAAAUUAGCCCUUCAGAGGGUCUGCUGCCUUGUUUGUAAAAUCCCAAUGUCAUUGUCAGGAU